CUAAUAGUUAGAUCAUCGAAUAACGGAUUAUAGAGCAAUUUUCAAUCUAUGGUCCUAAGAGGGUAUUAUGUCGUGUGGUGAUCUGAUGUUGACAUUAGUUGGGUAGAUCUUAGUUGAAGAUAUUUGAGAGGGGAUAGAUUAGAAACAUACACCCUCCUUAGCCUCUGAAUCAACCAAAGCCUUAACUACUCGACUAAUGGGUUAUGGUAUCAGCAUAAUACUAGUGUAUGACUCCCACACACCACCAGUUUCAACACUCCAAUAGAAAACUGGUAUCAAUUUUCAACCAAAUACCCAUUCCCCAGAACCAAUUCUAGACAAUUCAUUAUUUUUUAUCUUCUUCUUAACCCAAUCAGUCUCUGCCAAAAUUACCAAAACAUUAGCUUCUGCAUAUGAUGUCUGUCCUUCAACCAUACGACAUCCCAGUUGGAUUUCUUCGCAAAGGCUUGAUUGACUACUAAUUAGACAGCUACCCAGAAUUGGUGCUAUGUUAUGAGGAAGAACAGAAUGUCUUUAUCAAAAGAGAUCGAGGUGCUAGUCUGGGAGUCAGAGUUUAGUUGCAAUUCAUUCAUGAGGUCCAAUUUGCAUCAUAUUUACUUUAUUUAAUUUUUUUUAUAUUUUUUAGUUAACGUUGGAUUUCAAAUGUACUCUCUUAAUGAUAGAAUAUCUUAAGGGUGAGACUGAAUAUUUAUAGGUAGUCUAACGCAGUCUCUUAGAAUGUGGCACCAUUAGUCCGACAACAGUUGAUAGAGAAGACAAUGUUAGGAUCAUAAAAUUUGAAAUUUAAUUCAAUCCUAAAGAACAUUAAAAGGUGAGGUUUGUAAAUUAUUUAUAAAACGAUACAUCUUGUGUGCUUGGGAUUUCUGACAAUCAUUUCCGAUGAGGAUAUGCUCCAAUUCUCAGUUGCAAUUGCUUCUGUAGACUUUGCGGUUAGUAAUUUUUUAUUGAAUCCCAUUUGUGGUUGUAGCGUUGACUGGUUCAUGGGGUUGGUUGGCACUUGAGAGUCAAUGCAUAACUCAAGUGAUAUUGUACAGUCUUAGGUGGAUCUAAUCGGCACAUGGUGCUUAUCAAAUACUUCGAAGGAGGAUCAUCGUGGUUGUGGCUAUCGUUUGAUGCAUGUGUCGUAUUAACCAUCGCAUAUCGUUAUUGUGAUAACAUUGCAUUUAAUACUCUCUGUCAACAACUUGGAUAAUAAUUUUGGAAACAGAGGAUUAUGAACUGCUUUCUUUAUCUAGAAGUUCCGUCAAUUAAACAUUAAACGAAUAAAUCCACAUGUCACACGUUCAUGAAUGAAUAUGUGUGCUAUGUUUUGAACAGUCAUCAAAAGUUGGAAAGGAAACUAGUGAAAUGGUUAUUUGAUAAUCCAAAAUAGUGUGGCAGAUGAUUUGGGAAGUUCAGAGUCAGUCAAAAUAAACUUCAACCAAAGAACUUUGCAGGGACAAAUACCAGUGUCCGAUAUUCAGUUUCGAUAGAUGAAGGAUGAUAUAGAUAAAGUGGCCAUUUUUCUUUUUAUUUCCAUGAAAUCAAGGACAUGCCAAAGAAAACACCCAAUAUAGCUAGUUAUUAUGGACUUGUAAGAAUUUAGCCAGCUAUCUAAUCCUUGUUUUCACAAACUGAGAUAUUGAAAUAAGA
rnacentral:sRNA from 1 species